GCCGGGUGUGGUGGCGUGCGCCUGUAAUCCCAGCUACUUGGGAGGCUGAGGCAGGAGAAUCAUGUGAACCCAGGAGGCGGAGAUUGCAGUGAGCUGAGAUCAUGCCAUUGCAGUCCAGCCUGGGUGACAGUGCGAGACUCUGUCUCAA
ensembl:misc_RNA Metazoa_SRP Metazoan signal recognition particle RNA